CGGAACGGGUGAGUAAUGCGUGACCAACCUGCCCCAUGCUCCAGGAUAGCUCUUGGAAACGGGUGGUAAUGCUGGAUGCUCCAACUUGACGCAUGUCUUGUUGGGAAAGUGUUUAGUGGCAUGGGAUGGGGUCGCGUCCUAUCAGCUUGUAGGCGGGGUAAUGGCCCACCUAGGCUUCGACGGGUAGCCGGCCUGAGAGGGCGGACGGCCACAUUGGGACUGAGAUACGGCCCAGACUCCUACGGGAGGCAGCAGAA
rnacentral:rRNA from 1 species